rnacentral:lncRNA from 1 species
CUUUUUCCUUUUCCCUUUAUUUCCUUCAGCAUUAACUGUCUCACUCAAUCCUUCUUUCAUGAGAAUCCCUCUUAUAUAAUUCUAACAAUCAUCAAUCCCAUGACAUUAAAUCUCUGUCGUGACAGAAGUCUUCAUGGUGAUACAUUUUUCGUGCAAAUGAAUGAUAUGAGCUUUUUUUGUGUGUGGAUUGAUCUUCUUUCCUCUGAAAGGUCAAGCAAAUCUGAAAUUUGGGUAUACUAAUGACGAUUGGAUUUUGGUGAGUAUAAAUGUCUUGACUUCCCGACACAUUGAUUUUGACGAUGCUCAUACAGCGUGGAUGCUCUUUGUUACACCCCAUUUGAAUUAUUUAAUUCUAUAAAAUAAUUUAAUUGUACUAUAUGUGUUUUGAAUGGUU